AAGUCGUAACAAGGUUUCCGUAGGUGAACCUGCGGAAGGAUCAUUAACACGUAUCCACGUAAACCCAUGUGCAGGAAGCCCGUGUGCGAUCUUGGAUCAGUGAUGCUAGCGGAGAAAUGACGGUGACCACCCUCCGGGGUGCCACUCUGCUAGCUGGACCUUGUGCUCUCUGCUUACUGGUUUCGACUAGUGUAGCGGUUUGUGCAAGAGAUCCCAAUCAUUGGUUCGAGCAUGCACGCGUCGCCGUCGAAUAUUGUUUUUUUUUUACGCCUUGUAAAUAAACUGUUCUAAACAACAAACAAUGAAAGCUUGUCGGCUUGUCCGCAAGUUAUCUUGUUUCUUACUAAAUUUUAAACAAUCCUUAGCAACGGAUAUCUUGGUUCUC
rnacentral:misc_RNA from 1 species